AUUGAACGCUGGCGGCAGGCCUAACACAUGCAAGUCGAGCGGCAGCGGGAAAGUAGCUUGCUACUUUUGCCGGCGAGCGGCGGACGGGUGAGUAAUGCCUGGGAAAUUGCCCAGUCGAGGGGGAUAACAGUUGGAAACGACUGCUAAUACCGCAUACGCCCUACGGGGGAAAGCAGGGGACCUUCGGGCCUUGCGCGAUUGGAUAUGCCCAGGUGGGAUUAGCUUGUUGGUGAGGUAAUGGCUCACCAAGGCGACGAUCCCUAGCUGGUCUGAGAGGAUGAUCAGCCACACUGGAACUGAGACACGGUCCAGACUCCUACGGGAGGCAGCAGUAAGGAAUAUUGGGGCAAUGGACGCAAGUCUGACCCAGCCAUGCCGCGUGAAGGAUGAAGGUCCUCUGGAUUGUAAACUUCUUUUAUCUGGGGCGAAAACCGGUUAUUCUUAGCCGCUUGACAGUACCAGAUGAAUAAGCACCGGCUAACUCCGUGCCAG
rnacentral:rRNA from 1 species